rnacentral:rRNA from 1 species
CUGGACCUCGGAUCAGGCCAGGCUACCCGCUGAAUUUAAGCAUAUUAAUAAGCGGAGGAAAAGAAACUAACAAGGAUUCCCCCAGUAACGGCGAGCGAAGCGGGAAUAGCUCAAAUUUGAAAUCUCCGGUGCGUGCACCGGCGAAUUGUAGUCUGUAGGGCCAGUUUCGCCCGAGACAGCGUCCCCAAAGUCGUCCUGGAAAGGCGAGCCGGAGAGGGUGAGAGCCCCGUACGCGGGGGCACUGUCGAAGGUAAGAUCUGUGCCCGAAGAGUCGGGUUGUUUGGGAUUGCAGCCCAAAAUGGGUGGUAAACUCCAUCUAAAGCUAAAUACCGGCACGAGACCGAUAGCG